UCUUGUGAAUAUGAUGAAAUCUUGUCUAAACUUUUUAUGUCAUGACUAAAUCAUUUUCGUAUAAUCGAGUUUCAUUUUGCAAGCUUGUGAAUGAAUCGAUGAAUAUGGAACGUGAAUAAAUGAGAACCAAAAAUGAGUAUAUCAUUUCACACUCAUGUUAAAUGAAUUGUACAUAUAGCUGCAUCUUGGGGUAUGGUGAUGAAGUUUGUAAAUCAUUAAAAUUUCAGCCUAAUGUUACAAAAAAUGCAUAAUAAAACAUAAAGAUGUACUUAAUAUUCAAACUACUUACCAUAAAAUUCCAGGCAAUAGAAUAGACACUUCAAUUUAACCACAAUCAAAUCUUCCAACUGCUUUCCCCACACUCCGAUGGCCGCCGCGGCCCUCCCUCCCUCAUCUCCUCACCUUGUCUUCCCGCCGUCGCCGUCGCCGUCGCCGUCUUCUUUCUCUGCUCUCGGCGGGUCCCACGAGAGCUUCGCGUCACUCAAUUUGACUACUCGUCCGUGGAACAAGUUGAGCAGGAAACGCCGCGUUGGGGACGGUGUUCGCCGCUUCCGGUGAUUACUAGCAAGGAAAUCAAAACCGCUUAUCUGAGAUUAGCUCGCCAGUAAUUGUUGUGAUACAAAAUGAAUAUACCAUGGACGACUUCUUAGUUGACUCCUGAUCCACAUAUGUUCAGUUAUGACAUCACUUUAGAAUUUUCUGAGGCUAUAUUUGGAGUGGAAAAAGAAUUUGAACUUUCCCAUCUGGAAACAUGUGAAGUUUGCGCUGGGAGUGGAGCAAAAGUAGGCUCCAAAAGGAGGAUAUGUUCUACUUGUGGUGGGAGGGGUCAAGUUAUGAGAACAGAGCAGACACCUAUUGGCUUGUUUUCUCAGGUUUCUGCAUGUCUGGAUUGUGGUGGAGAUGGUGAAGGUAUUUCUGAAUACUGUCGGAAGUGCUGGAGAAGGACGUGUUCAUGUUAAGAUAAGUAUCAAAGUGCAAAUUCCUCCUCGUGUUAGCAGGGGAAGUAUUCUUAGAGUUGCUGGAGAGGGAGGUGCUGGACCGAGAGGGGGUCCUCCUGGGGAUCUUUAUGUAUAUCUUGAUGUUGAAGAAGUAGAAGGAAUUUGAAGAGAUGGCAUAAAUCUCUCUUCAACAGUAUCUCUAAGCUAUCUGGAUUGCAUAUUGGGAACUGUUAUUCAGGUUAAAACAGUUGAAGGAUUAACAACACUACAAAUUCCAUGGUGACAUUCUAGUCCUGACCAAAAAAGGAGUACCAAAGCGGAACAAGCCAUCAAUUCAUGGUGACCAUGUGUUUACAAUUAAAGUAGCCAUAGCGAAUCGUACCAGGUAACAGUUGUCUCUAUUUUGUAUAGGGUAGCUGACAGUGUCACGUCUUCAUUUACCUUCCCCUGUUUGUUUCUCAGUUCAGUUCACUGUUAGUCUAUUACGUAGGUCAAGUAUAUUUGGCGUAUGCUCUGUAGAACCGUGUGAGCUCUGCAAGCGUUAGAACAUCCUUAUGAAAGUAAAAGACACUAAAAUGCUAGAAAAAUAAAUUUCAAUUAAACAGAAUUACUUUGUUGGGACUUGGAAACUUACAGAAUAUAUGGCAGUAGCUUCCAAAAACACUGAUACUAACACCUUGAAAAAAAAAAAAAAAAGGACAAUCAAAGACAGAAUAAAACUAUUGAAAGGCAGGGGUGUCUGCUCACCUGCAUACUUGGUCGUGCUGUUACUCAGAGGGGGAGAGGAGGGGGAGUAGAGGGAGGAGAGAUAUGUAAGUUUGUAAUGCUGUCGCUGUAAACAAUGGGCAUUAUUGUUGGAAUUUAACCCCUCAGAUUUUCUUUUCAUUUAGCGUCAAGGAACGUGAAUUGCUUGAAGAACUUGCUUUACUCAGUAAUACUGCCGCCAGCUGUUUACGUACUCGACCCAAGUCCCAGCCAGUUGGUACGUGCUCGCUUUUAUCAUUUGAGGAUGUGCUCUCUACUUGUGUAUAUCUGUGCACACUCAUCUUGAGAGAUCUUCAAGUCCCUUGGUGAACGUAUUUGAAUUUUGAAACUGAGGGUGAAUGGAUAUUGAUGAUAUGCAUGACAGAACAUUUCUUUCAGAUUAGGUGUAUAGCUUUAUCUGACUUGAAUUUGUCCUUUCAUUCUACAGUAAAUACUCAAACUGAGAUGGGAACAGUUGCAGACGAAACAGUGGAAGAAGACGAUCAAAGUGACCCAUGGAAGAAGUUAAAAGACUUUGCGAGGUAAGGCUCACUCACCCACUCAUCUGUCAUAUACUCCUACUUACUUUAGUCAUCAAUUACCGAGUGUAAGUUGUAAAUCUAUUGCAAGGGAGAAAACCGUUGGUGACCAAUUUCCUGGAGCUGUUAUGUUCAAAAUCGAGGAUAUACAUACACAUGCAUAGGCUAUAGCCUUUGAUUGAAUCACAAGCUCUUGUGAGUUGUGAUGCUAGUUUGUUUUCAUAUACAGUAUUAUGUUCAUUGGAUGCCUAUUUUUGUACCAUUUUUGCUUUUAUCUUCACUAUUCAAUGUAUUUACUAUGUGCACUGCAGUUGACCCAUGAAGUUUUAGGAAUUUCCAGGUCUGCUGCAAAUGGUGCCUUAAAAUGGCUGAGAGACAACCUCUAGUCCGGUAUCAGUCAACUAAAAUAUUGGCACUAAUUUUUCUUCCUCGCAGGCUCCCUUCAGGAAUGGUCUUGAAUGAGCCUUACAGUCAUUUACUCUGAUGUCUUACCAAACUGGAGAACAAUUAGUUGGGUAUAAUUUUAUUUCUUGAUAACAUUUUACCAAAUUAAUGAUGAACAAUCACAUGCCUCAUGCAUUUAGCGAUUUGUAUCACCUACAAAACUAGUGGAGUUCAAGGGUAAACUUGUUAAUGUAAAUUUCAUUUUCUCACACAUUUACAGAAAUCCUUGUGAAACGAUUGGGUUUUAUUCGGAAACAUGUACUAUCUUUGAAUUUU